rnacentral:rRNA from 1 species
GUCCACGCUGUAAACGGUGGGUACUAGGUGUGGGGUCCAUUCCACGGGUUCCGCGCCGUAGCUAACGCUUUAAGUACCCCGCCUGGGGAGUACGGCCGCAAGGCUAAAACUCAAAGGAAUUGACGGGGCCCCGCACAAGCGGCGGAGCAUGCGGAUUAAUUCGAUGCAACGCGUAGAACCUUACCUGGGUUUGACAUGGAUCGGGAGUGCUCAGAGAUGGGUGUGCCUCUUUUGGGGUCGGUUCACAGGUGGUGCAUGGCUGUCGU